rnacentral:rRNA from 1 species
UACGUAGGGUGCGAGCGUAAUCGGAAUUACUGGGCGUAAAGCGUGCGCAGGCGGUUCGUUGUGUCUGAUGUGAAAGCCCCGGGCUCAACCUGGGAAUGGCAUUGGAAACUGGCGAGCUAGAGUGUGGCAGAGGGGGGUGGAAUUCCGCGUGUAGCAGUGAAAUGCGUAGAGAUGCGGAGGAACACCGAUGGCGAAGGCAGCCCCCUGGGCUGACACUGACGCUCAGGCACGAAAGCGUGGGGAGCAAACAGG